rnacentral:rRNA from 1 species
GGCCAAAAGGCUGGGCGCCGUGCCUAAUACUGCAAGUCGAGCGCGGGAAGCAAGCUGAUCCUCUUCUGAGGUGACGCUUGUGGAACGAGCGGCGGACGGGUGAGUAACACGUGGGCAACCUGCCUGUAAGACUGGGAUAACCCCGGGAAACCGGGGCUAAUACCGGAUAAUACUUUUCAUCACCUGAUGUGAAGUUGAAAGGUGGCUUUUAGCUACCACUUACAGAUGGGCCCGCGGCGCAUUAUCUAGUUGGUGAGGUAACGGCUCACCAAGGCAACGAUGCGUAGCCGACCUGAGAGGGUGAUCGGCCACACUGGGACUGAGACACGGCCCAUACUCCUACGGGAGGCAGCAGUAGGGAAUCUUCCGCAAUGGACGAAAGUCUGACGGAGCAACGCCGCGUGAGUGAUGACGGUUUUCGGAUCGUAAAGCUCUGUUGUUAGGGAAGAAAAGUGCCGUUCGAAUAGGGCGGCUCCUUGACGGUACCUAACCAGAAAGCCCCGGCUACCUACGUGCCAGCAGCCGCGGGUAAUACGUAGGGGGCAAGCGUUGUCCGGAAUUAUUGAAGCGUAAGGCCCGCCAAGGGGGCCCUUUAAUCCCAUGUGAAUGCAAGGGCUCCUACGCGUGCGGGGCCCUU